rnacentral:rRNA from 1 species
GACGAACGCUGGCGGCGGGCUUAACACAUGCAAGUCGAACGGAUAGGCCCUGCUUAUCUGGGGUGCUGGAGUGGCCAACGGGUGAGUAACACGUGUGUAACCUGUCCUUGACUGUGGGAGAACUUCAGGACACUGGGGCUAAUACCGGAUAGGAGCUCCCGCUGCAGGGUGGGGCUUGGAUAGUUUCGGCGGUUGGGGGUGGACUCGCGAAUCAUCAGCUUGAUGGAGGGGUAGUGGCUUACCAAGGCAUGGACGGGUAGCCGGGCUGCGAGGGGGACAGGCCACAGUGGAACGGGAAUACGACCCGGACUCCAACGGGAGGGGGCAGUGGCGUAUAUAGCACAGUGGGAGGAAGCCUGAUGCGACCACGCCACGUGCGGUGUAACGGCCUUCGGGUAGUAAGCCGCUUUCCCCUGAGACGAAGAGAGAAUGACGGUAAUAGGUAAAGAAGCCCCGGCUAACUCCGUG